UGUUGUUAUCCUUCUUCACUCCAUUCCCACAUCCUUCUUCACUUUGCAUUCCCACAGACCUGCACUAAGCUCUGCACAGACAAAUCCUGACAUGGACUCCACGAUAGCUCUCUGCAGUUCAGGAAAUACUGUAUUGCCCUGUACAAGACUCUUACCUGGCUGCAGGAAAGGAAGUGGUGUUUUCCAACUCUUCCAGCUGCAGAUGAGUUAGAGGUGGCAGAGGUUUGCACAGAAAAAAGAGCAGAGUUUUAUCAGAAGAAACUCAAAGUGCCUGUUUUGCCAUCCAAGAGUUUAUGCAAAGGGCAAGGAGCAAGCCUCAUGUGAUACAAGUGUUAGGCAGUUUGAUGACACCAAUGGAGAUGUGACCUCUUCUAGUUAGAGGAGGGUUGCAGAGAUGGGUGGCUGGGAUCCUGAAGCAGUGACAGCCCUGCUAGGUGUGGGUAUAAGGAUCAGCAUUCUGCACCCCAGGCAGAGGUAUCUGCAGGUAUCCUCCUCUGUCAAGAAUCGGAACAGGGAACAUUACUAGGAGCUGUGUCUGGCCGUGUAUGGUGAAACAGAAGAGAGUAAGUUCUGAAGUUCCCACCAGUCUACCCAGAAACUGGAGUUGUGUGGUCUAAAAAUGGGCAUAUGGUCAAAUUGAAGUGUGGCUCAGCUAAUUCACGCUGCACAGUGCACACAAGACUGCA